CGGGGCGUAGCGCAGGGGUAGCGCGCUUGGUUUGGGACCAAGAGGUCGAAGGUUCAAAUCCUUUCGCCCCGACCA
rnacentral:tRNA from 1 species